rnacentral:lncRNA from 1 species
GGAUGGUGCACCCGGGCGCCGCGAACAGCGCGGCCCGCAGCGGCGACGACGGCCGCGGCAGCUGCCACAGCACCUCGUUGCCGUUCCUUCGCGCGACGCGCGCGUCGAGGCGGACGGCGUCGGCGUCGGCGUCGGCGGAGGCGGAGGCGGAGGCGUCAGUGGUCAGCAGCGGCGGCGGGGGAGGAGGGGCGCGCGGGAGGAGCAGCGCGGUGGCGAGGAGGAGCAAGGCGCACGUCGAGGCGAUCAGCACCGCGGGCCGGAG